rnacentral:rRNA from 1 species
ACGCUGGCGGCGUGCCUAAUACAUGCAAGUCGAACGCCUUGUGGUUUUAAUGAAUAGCGUGCUUGCACAAUAUGAUUUAAAACAAUGCAAGGAGUGGCGAACGGGUGAGUAACACGUGGGAAACCUACCUCUUAGCAGGGGAUAACAUUUGGAAACAGAUGCUAAUACCGUAUGACACUAAAAACCGCAUGGUUUUUAUUUGAAAGAUGGUUCUGCUAUCACUAAGGGAUGGUCCCGCGGUGCAUUAGUUAGAUGGUGAGGUAAUGGCUCACCAUGACGAUGAUGCAUAGCCGAGUUGAGAGACUGAUCGGCCACAAUGGGACUGAGACACGGCCCAUACUCCUACGGGAGGCAGCAGUAGGGAAUCUUCCACAAUGGGCGCAAGCCUGAUGGAGCAACGCCGCGUGUGUGAUGAAGGGUUUCGGCUCGUAAAGCACUGUUGUAAGAGAAGAAUGUACUUGAGAGUAACUGUUCAAGUAGUGACGGUAUCUUACCAGAAAGGGACGGCUAAAUACGUGCCAGCAGCCGCGGUAAUACGUAUGUCCCAAGCGUUAUCCGGAUUUAUUGGGCGUAAAGCGAGCGCAAACGGUUAUUUAAGUCUGAAGUGAAAGCCCUCAGCUCAACUGAGGAAUUGCUUUGGAAACUGGAUGACUUGAGUGCAGUAGAGGAAAGUGGAACUCCAUGUGUAGCGGUGAAAUGCGUAGAUAUAUGGAAGAACACCAGUGGCGAAGGCGGCUUUCUGGACUGUAACUGACGUUGAGGCUCGAAAGUGUGGGUAGCAAAC